rnacentral:lncRNA from 1 species
GUGGGUUGGGUCGGCUAUCCAGGCUGCCUCUCUGGUCCAGCCGAGAGGAAACGGCGGCCAGUGAGAGUGCUUUUAGGAAAGGCUCGGGCCGUGACUGGGGAGAGUCCCUGGGAAAAAGGAGCGCGUUUCGGGCCCUUUGCGAAAACGCUCCGGCUGGAAACACAAGGCUCCGAGAGGAAGGAGCCGCUCUCCGCUCUGACCCACCCCACCCCCUUCAGUAAGUGGGGACCCCUCCGCCCCCCAACUCCCCAAACGAUCACGCUCCGCCGAGGGGCUUCCUGUCUCUCGUUCAUUUUUGUUCUGACAGCGCUGGGAACCAACGGGGAGAUCGGGAUGUGCCCACCUCAUCACACAGACGAAAACCUCAGGCGCCAGAAUGGGGAGGAACUCGCUCAGAACCAGCCAGGAGCCAGCUGGGGCUCCCGACUCUCGGUUCUGGGAACCUCCGUGUUUUUCUGUUGGAAGAUAGGCGGGAUCGAACAGGAAGGUUUGAGGAGGAUCUCUGAGGAUUACUAUUGGCGUAGGACUUCAGACGGCCAUUGUUACCAGCUACUUAUUCAUCUCUGUAUUCAUUUCACAUUCAAUACACUUAUGUGUUGAUUCACUAAUUCAAUUCAUGUGUAUUGAAUAUCUGAAUACUCCCAGACACUAGUGUGGACGUCAGAGAUAUGGGAGGUGAAGAUGUGAACAUGGUGUCUACCUUCAGGGAACUGACAGUAUCAUGAGAAUUAUCAUGGAAUUGAUUUGAGGUUUUCAAAAUUCAGAUUACAAAAACAGUCUACAGGCUCCCACACCAACAUUUUAUUAUGAAAAAUUUCAAAUAUAUAGAAAAGUUGAAAGAAUCGCAUAGUGAACAUCCAUAUACUUACCAUACCAGGUUUAUAGUUUUUAAAUAGCAUCUACAGUUUGAUCCUGAAAGGUCAUCAUGUUCAGCCAAUUAUUAUUAUUAUUAUUAUUAUUAUUAUUAUUAUUUUGAGAUGGAGUCUUGCUCUGUCACCCAGGCAGGAGUGCAGUGGUGUGAUCUCCGCUCGCUGCAACCUCUGCCUCCUGGGUUCAAGCGAUUCCCCUUGCCUCAGCCCCCUGAGUAGCUGAGAUUACAGGCACCUGCCACCAUGCCUGGCUAAUUUUUGUAUUUUUAAUAGAGACGGGGUUUCACCAUACUGGUCAGGCUGGUGUCAAACUCCUGACCUCAGGUGAUCCUCCUGCCUUAGCCUCCCAAAGUGCUGGGAUCACAGGCGUGAGCCACUGUGCCCGGCCUCUUUGUAGUUUUUUUGAGAUGGAGUCUUACUCUGUUGCCCAGGCUAGAGUGCAGUGGCCCGAUUUUGGCUCACUGCAACCUCCACCUCCUGGGUUCAAGCAAUUCUCCUGUCUCAGCCUCCCGAGUAGCUGGGAUUACAGGCGUGUGCCACCACGUGGGCCUGGCUAAUUUGUUUGUUUUUUUAUUUACUUAGCAGAGACAGGGUUUCACCAUGUUGGCCAUGCUGGUCUAGAACUCCUGACCUCAGGUGAUCCACCCGCUUUGGCCUCUCAAAGUGCUGGGAUUAUAGGCGUGAGCCACCGUGCCCGGCCUAUUUAGUUAGUUUUGAGACAGGGUCUGGCUGCUCUGUUGCCCAGGCUAGAUUACAGUGGCACGGUCAUGGCUCACUGCAGCCUCAACGUCCUGGGCUCAGGUAAUCCUCCCACCUCAACCUGCUAAGUAGCUGCGACUACAGGCAUGCACCACUACACCGCGCUUUUUUUGCGUUUGUGUUUUGGUUUUGUUUGUUUUGUUUUUGGUAGAGAUGGCUGUGGUGAUGUGUUGCCCAGGCUGGUCUGGAACUCCUGGGUUCAAGGGAUCCUCCUGCCUCUGCCUCGUAAAGUGCUAGAAUUAGAGGCAUGAGCCACUGAACCCCACCCAACUCACCCAUUUAAAGUGUAUAAUUCAAUAGUCAGUAUAUUCAUAGUUGUGUGCAAAUAUCACGAUGUCAACGUUAGAACACUUUCAUCACCUCAAAGAGAGAUCCCAUGCCCUUUAGGUAUCACUCCUCUAUUCUUCCUUCCCUCCAACUCUCUAUCCCCACCCACCCUAAGGAACCACAAAGCUACACUCUGCCGCUACAGAUUACCCUAUUCUGGUAUUAAUAGUCUUCUAAUAUGUGGUCCUUUGUGCCUGGCUUCUUUCACUUAAUCUAUUUUUAAAUUUUAUUUUAUUGACACAUAAUAUUUUACAUAGUUUGGGGUACAUGUGAGUAUUUGUGACAUGCAUAGAAUGUGUAAUGAUCAAUCAAAUCGGGGCAUUUGGGGUAACCACCAUUCUUGAGUGUUCAUCAUUUCUAUGUGUUGGGAACAUUUCAAGUGCUCUCUCCUAACUACUUUGCAAUAUACAGACUGGGCACAGUGGCUCACACCUGUAAUCCCAGGACUUUGGGAGGCCAAGGCGGGUGGAUCACGAGGUCAGGAGUUCUAGACCAGCCUGGCCAAGAUGGUGAAACCCCGUCUCUACUAAAAACACAAAAAUUCGCCAGGCAUGCUGGUGGGCACCUGUAAUCCCACCUACUCAGGAGACUGAGGCAGGAGAAUUGCUUGAACCCGGGAGGCGGAGGUUGCCGUGAACCGAGAUCGCGCCACUGCACUCCAGCCUGGGCAACAAGAGCAGAACUCCAUCGCAAAAAAAAAGUAUGUCUUCUAUGUAGCUGUAUGUUGGUACCCAUUAACCAACCUUCAUUUGUCCCCGCUUCCACCACACACCCUUCCCAGCCUCUAAGUUAGCAUAAAGGUUCAUCCAUGUUUUCACACAGAUCAGUAUUUUACUCAUUUAUGGCCAAAUAGUAUUCCACUCUAUGGAUAUACCACAUGUUGUUUAUGGACAUUUGGGUCGUUUCUGCUUUUUGGCUGUUAUGAAUAAUACUGCUACAAGCAUUUGUUUACAAGUUUUUGUGUGCACGUAUAUUUCAGUUUUCUUGGGUACAUAGAAAAAUGAAAGGGAGAGGAAUUGCAGAGCCAUCUAACUAACUCUAUCAGCCAAUUUCUUUUAAAAGGCAGGAAAUCUAGGCUCCGUGAGGAGAAGUGAAGUGCUCAGGUUUUACAGGAAGGUAGAGAUGGAAAGAAGCGAGGCAAAUCUUCUGAUUCCAAGUCCAAGACUCUUCCUGCCAUUUUCUUUUUCUUUUUCGUUUUCUUUUCUUUUCUUUCUUUCUUUUUUUUUUUUUUUUUUUUUUCUUUCUUUUUUAAAUGGAGUCUUGCUCUGUCUCCCAGGCUGGAGUGCAAUGGUGCUAUCUGGGCUCACUGCAACCUCCGCCUCCCCGGUUCAAGCGAUUCUCCUGCCUCAGCCUCCUGAGUAGCUGGGAUUGCAGGCACCUGCCACUGCGCCCCACUAAAAUCCUCUUGCAAUUUUCUAAUGGCUCUGUGUAGCCGGGCUUCUGGCCUCAAGUCAUGCAGUAGUCUGUUAGUGUUCUGCUAGGCACUGAGGGACUCAGAAACCAGACAACAGACGAAAAGGCAAGGAACCCAGAUUUGUUUUUAAAUUUUAAAAUUUUAUAUUUAUUUUAUGUUUAUUUUUUCAGACAGGGUCUUACUUUGUCACCCAGGCCAGAGUGCAGUGGCGUGAUCUUGGCUCACUGCAGCCUCAACUUCCCAAGCUCAAGCAAUCCUCCUGCCUCAGCUCCCCAAGUUGCUGGGACUACAGGCACGCUCCACUGUGCACAUUAAUUUUUGUAUUUUUAGUAGAGACGGGGCCACCACGCCCAGCCAGAACCCACAUUUAUUGAGCACCAGUUGGUUCCAGGCAUCACAUAGACCUUCAGCAUUCUCAAUUGGUGGCAUUCUAACUACAACCCUGCCAAACGGCAUUAUGGUGCCCACUUUGUAGAUGUCAGCUAGACACUUAGAGGGGACGUUGCUUGCCCAGAGUUGCACAGCAAGUGGACAAAUGGAUCUGGACCCAGGUUUGCCUGAUUUGAAAGCUUAUGGUAAUUCCACUAAACAGUGCUCUCCUCUGUGAAUAUUUAAUAGCUUUAGCGAGGUUAGGGAGAAAAAAAGGGAAAAAAAAUACUCAAUAGCCUUAAGCUCUGGUACAAAAUUCUUCCACCUGCAUGAAUUCAAUUUCUCACUCGUUCAUUCACCAAACACUCACUGAGGCAUAUACGUGCCUUCUCUAUAGGGAUGCAGAGAUGACAUACUUCCAGCUCCCAAAAAAGGGAAACUGGGGGAUGAGUUCUGUGUGCUAUAAAUGAUCUCUUUUAAUAAAGAGCUUCUCAGUAAGAAAUAGACCAGGCACAGUGGCUCACGCCUGUAAUCCCAGCACUUCGGGAGGUUGAGGUGAGGCAGGCAGAUCAUGAGGUCAGGAGAUCGAGACCAUCCUGGCUAACACGAUGAACCCCCGUCUCUACCAAAAAUACAGAAAAGCCAGGCGUGGUGGUGGGCGCCUGUAGUCCCAGCUACUCGGGAAGCUGAAGCAGGAGAUUUGCUUGAAUCAGGGAGGCGGAGGUUGCAGUGAGCUGAGAUCACGCCACUGCACUCCAGCCUGGGCUGUUUCUCAAAAAAAAAAGAAAAGAAAUGAAAUGAAAUGAUUUCACACCAAGAGAUUACUGAACAUUUUAAAGUUUGACUAUCAGAUAUUGAUAAGAAUGUUAAGCAACAGAGGUCCCUAUUUAUUGCUAGUGGGAGUGCCAAAUGGUAGUAAUUAUUAUAGCUAACUCAUAGCACCUACUGUGUGCCAUACAUUGUCCAAAAUACUUUAUAUAUAAUGACUUCUGUAAUCAUCAUAGCAACUGUGUGAAGUAGGUUUUCUUAUCAUCCUCAUUUUGCAAAUUAGGAAACCUGGACAGAAAGGGCUGACUUAUGCAUUCAACACAGUAGCAGAUACAGUGCCUAGGGCCCAUGAUACUCUUAGCGACCCACAACAUUUAAACAUUUAUUUUAGGCUGGGCGCGGUGGCUCACGCCUGUAGUCCCAGCACUUUGGGAGGCUGAGGUGGGCAGAUCACCUGAGGUCAGGAGUUCGAGACCAGCCUGGCCAACAUGGUGAGACCCUGUCUCUACUAAAAAUACAAAAAUUAGCCGGGCGUGGUGGCACAUGCCUGUAGUCCCAGCUACUCACGAGGCUGAGGCAGGAGAAUCGCUUGAGCCCUGAUUUUUAUAUAUAUAAAUCAAAAGAAAAGAAAGGGGAAUAUAGCUUUGGAAGACCAGGCAGAAGGAUCGCUUAAGGCUAGGAGUUCAAGACCAGCCUGGGCAAGGUAAGACAGCAAGACCCCCAUCUCUAUAAAAUAAGAAGAAGAAAGAAGGAGGAGAUAAUUCAGCCUAAGUGGUGUUUAUUUUUAUUUUACACCACUAUAUCACAAAAUAUAAUUUCAUAUAUAUGUAUGA